UACGUAGGGGGCUAGCGUUGUCCGGAUUUAUUGGGCGUAAAGAGCGUGUAGGCGGCCAUGUAGGUCCGGUGUGAAAACUCGAGGCUUAACCUCCGAGAUGUCAUCGGAAACCAUUUGGCUAGAGUCCGGAAGAGGAGAGUGGGAAUUCCCUGGUGUAGCGGUGAAAUGCGCAGAUAUCAGGAGGAACACCGAUGGCGAAGGCAGCUCGCUGGGACGGUACUGACGCCUGAGGCGCGAAAGCGUGGGGAGCAAACAGG
rnacentral:rRNA from 1 species